GCAUAUCAAUAAGCGGAGGAAAAGAAACCAACAGGGAUUACCUCAGUAACGGCGAGUGAAGCGGUAACAGCUCAAAUUUGAAAGCUGCCAACAGGCCGCGUUGUAAUUUGUAGAAGCUGCUUUGGGUGUCGGCCCGGUCUAAGUUCCUUGGAACAGGACGUCAUGGAGGGUGAGAAUCCCGUAUGUGAUCGGUGCCGUUGCCCGUGUAAAGCGCUUUCGACGAGUCGAGUUGUUUGGGAAUGCAGCUCAAAAUGGGUGGUAAAUUUCAUCUAAAGCUAAAUAUUGGCCAGAGACCGAUAGCGCACAAGUAGAGUGAUCGAAAGAUGAAAAGCACUUUGGAAAGAGAGUUAAACAGUACGUGAAAUUGUUGAAAGGGAAGCGCUUGCAACCAGACUUGCGGGCGGUCGAUCAUCCGAGGUUCUCCCCGGUGCACUCGAUCGUUCUCAGGCCAGCAUCGGUUUCCGGGGUGGGAUAAAGGCGGUGGGAAUGUGGCUUUUCGGAGUGUUAUAGCCCACCGUGCAAUGCCGCCACUGGGGACCGAGGACCGCGCUUCGGCUAGGAUGCUGGCGUAAUGGUUGUAAGCGACCCGUCUUGAAACACGGACCAAGGAGUCUAACAUCUAUGCGAGUGUUUGGGUGUCAAACCCAUACGCGUAAUGAAAGUGAACGGAGGUAAGAGCCCUUUAGGGUGCAUUAUCGACCGAUCCUGAUGUCUUCGGAUGGAUUUGAGUAAGAGCAUAGCUGUUGGGACCCGAAAGAUGGUGAACUAUGCGUGAAUAGGGUGAAGCCAGAGGAAACUCUGGUGGAGGCUCGCAGCGGUUCUGACGUGCAAAUCGAUCGUCAAAUUUGCGUAUAGGGGCGAAAGACUAAUCGAACCAUCUAGUAGCUGGUUCCUGCCGA
rnacentral:rRNA from 1 species